rnacentral:ncRNA from 1 species
AAAUCCUUGGAAAAAAGAGAAAUGGUCUGGUGUUCAUCGAACACUGCACCCAUUUCCUAUUUUUCAGGCGGAUUU